UUUUCUCUGCUAUAAAAUCACGCUAGGUGAACCACUUCUCCUGGCCUAUUAUUUACUGCGUAUUGAUUUUAUUAUCAAAAGAUAUUUUCCUUUAGUGAUUGAAUCCGACUCCCCUUACAGCAAUGCCUCCGCGAGGGAUGCCAAUUGUUACCUUACCAUACAGAGUGAAAACGCUUAUCUCCAUUAUUGAACUAAUUAAUUAUGGACUAUUUCUUCUUCUUGGCAUUACGUCCUCACUAGAACAGAGCCUGAUGCUCAGCUGUUCAGUGAGCAGAGCACUUCCAGUUAUUAACUCAGAGUUGCUAUUGUCGCAUUCCUAUAUCGUGUGGCGUAGAGAUUGGAAAAAUGGUCCAAUUAUGGGAGCGAAUCAUAGUUGACUCACUCACAAAAAUGAAUCGACUCAUUUGAUCGAUUCAGUAAGUCUCAUUAUAAAAUCAAAAAUAAAUAGUUUUUCUCGCAAAAGGGAAUGAAAAUUACAGUCGCCUCUCCACAUCUCGAUAUCGAAGGGACCAUCGAGAUAGGGAGGGAUCGAGUCAAAGAACAAAUUUUAGAUGAAUAUUAGAUUGAAAAACACUCCGUUGUCACGGUAGACACAACAAGGUAGGUGUAGGGAAUAGUUAUUAGUGGGUAAAUUAUUGUUCAUUUGAGUAAUUAUUCUGAACAAGUGAAGUUUAAGUCCAAUUUUCAAUAAAUAUGAUUAUGUUUCGUCGAGAGUGUAGAAAAAGCUCAGCAUGAAGUAGUUCGCGGGAAAAAUGAAAGCUUCCCUUUGAAUCAGUUUUGAAACGGAUUUGCGUGAGAACGGACGUGUGUUUUACUGUUCCGUAUUUAAAAGAGCGCAGUUUACGACAAUGUCGCGGUCGGUAGGGACACAACGUUCCCUACACUCAAAAAAAUCCAAACGUCGAUGCUACGUGAAAAAUCACGUAAGCUCUCAUUUAUAUCACUUUUGUCAAUUUUACCUGACCAACGUAAGACUCACCAAUCGCUACGUGAGCCAGACUCAAGACUCAAGGGCGACGUUGAUUAUUAGUGGAACUGAGUGGCUCAUUGCCACUCAAAUUUUGUAUACAAAAGUUUAUCUCUGACAGUUGGUACAGAUGUUAACAUCGAGAAGAAAAUGUAACAUUUUAGUUUCGUGCAUUUCGUUUUUAGUUAAAAGUGAUAAAAUCGAAUUGAUAUGGUUAAAAAAUGAAGCUCGGAUUCCGGCAGUCGGCAAAAAAUGGAACAUACCGUUGAGACAAUAACAUAUUUUAGAAUAAAUCAAUCGCAAACCGAAUCAAAUCAAUAAACGUGUGCUAUUCUAUUAUAUUUCAAAUCGCUAGGCUUUAUUUUCCUGAAAUUCUGAAAACGAAAUGAAAACCCAAUAUAAAUCCAAAUCACUAUUGAAUACCUAUGAACGCUAUCGAAACAAUAACGUAGCUGUUACGUGAAAUCUUAGUCACCUCGAGCUUCGCGGAAUUGAGUUCCGGCACUCACCAUUCACGUAGCUGUUACCUGAAAAGUGCGAUGGAAAAAAA